rnacentral:rRNA from 1 species
GACAGAGGUCCCGAGCGUUAGGCGGAAUCACUGGGCUUAAAGCGUGUGUAGGCGGAUUGGUAAGUACCUUGUGAAAUCCCACGGCUUAACCGUGGAACUGCUGGGUAUACUGCUUAUCUUGGGCCACUUAGGGGUUACCGGAACAAACGGUGGAGCGGUGAAAUGCGUAGAUAUCAUUUGGAACGCCAAUGGUGAAAACAGGUAGCUGGGAGUGUGCUGACGCUGAGACACGAAAGCCAGGGGAGCGAACGGG